rnacentral:rRNA from 1 species
UGUCUUUUUGAUAAUAAUAUAAAGUUUAAUCUGCCCACUGAUUUUAAAUUAAAGGGCUGCAGUAUAUUGACUGUACAAAGGUAGCAUAAUCAUUAGUCAUUUAAUUGAUGACUUGUAUGAAAGAUUGGAUGAAAUAUAAACUGUCUUUUAUUUAAUUAUAAAAUUUAAUUUUUUUAUAAAAAAGUUAAAAUAAUUUAAAAAGACGAGAAGACCCUAUAGAGUUUUAUAUAUAAUUAAAUUGAGAUUAUAUUGAAAAUUAAAUUUAAAAUUUAAUUAUUUAUUUUAUUGGGGUGAUGAAAAAAUAUAAAAAACUUUUUUUUUUAUAAAAACAUUUAUAAGUGAUUGAAUGAUUCAAUAAUAUUGAUUAUAAGAAAAAAUUACCUUAGGGAUAACAGCGUAAUUUUUUUUUUUAGUUCAAAUAAAAAAAAAAGUUUGCGACCUCGAUGUUGGAUUAAGAUAAAAUUUAAAUGUAGAAG